rnacentral:rRNA from 1 species
UACAGAGGGUGCGAGCGUUAAUCGGAAUGACUGGGCGUAAAGGGCGCGUAGGUGGUUUGUUAAGAUUGAUGUGAAAUCCCUGGGCUUAACCUAGGAACUGCAUCGAUGACUGACGAGCUUGAGUAUUGUAGAGGGUAGUGGAAUUUCCGGUGUAGCGGUGAAAUGCGUAGAGAUCGGAAGGAACACCAGUGGCGAAGGCGGCUACCUGGACAAAUACUGGACACUGAGGCGCGGAAAGCGUGGGGAGCAAACAGG